GCGAUGAUGGUGUAAGGGUAACAUUCUGGCUUCCCAUGCCUGAGCCCGGGGUUCGAGUCCCCGUCAUCGCA
rnacentral:tRNA from 1 species